CGCACCUUGCGCUCCUUGGUAUUCCGAGGAGCAUGCCUGUUUGAGCAUCAUUAAAUCAUCAACUUUAAUUGUUGUAAAAAAACUCUUAAAGCUUGGAAUUGGAGUGUGCAGGCUUUUUAUAGUCAGCUCCUCUUAAAAGCAUUAGCAAAACCUUUUUGUAUUCUGGUACUAUCAGGCUUUGGUUUGAUAAUUAUCUAUGCCAUCGCUGACCUUUAUACGGAUUUGCUUCUAAUCGUCGUAAGACAAUUUUUUGAAUUUGAUCUCAAAUCAGGUAGGACUACCCGCUGAACUUAA
rnacentral:misc_RNA from 1 species